UUGUGCGUAGGCCAGGCUAUGACUUAAAACUGUUGCAGGACACGAGGGAUUCCAUAAAAAUAAAUCAAUGGAAGGACUCAGCCGGGGAUAAAGAAAAAAAAAUUGCAGGGCAAAUAGGUAAAUUAGGACAAAACUGAAAUACUCAAUCCAAACAGGAAACAUCGAUUUCACUGAGGAAAUAUGCAUUCAAACUCAACUGGGGAAGAAAAGAACUUCAACACAGGAGUAACAAAAAUAUAUUAUCCACUACCAGUUAC
rnacentral:lncRNA from 1 species